rnacentral:rRNA from 1 species
AGGGGACCGCGAGUGCGAGGGCAUAUAGUGCUCGAUUUUCUGGACUGUAAGGAAGUCCAAGAAUAAGGGCUGGGCAAGAGCGGUUACAGGCGCAGCGGUAAUCGCGGCAGCCUGAGUGAUGGCCGAUUUUAUUGGUCCUAAAGAGUCCGUAGCCGUUCAGACGGGUCGGUCCGGAAAUUUGCACGGCCAUCGUACAGGCGUCCGGCGGAAACCAGCUGGCUUGGGGCCGGAAGAGCCAGGGGGUACGCCCGGGGUAGGAGUGAAAUACCGUAAUUCCGGUCGGGCCCCCGGUUGCGAAAGCGCCCUGUGAGGACGGUCCCGACGGUGAGGUACGAAAGCUAGGGUCACGAACCGGAUUAGAUAUCCGGGUAGUCCUAGCCGUCAACGAUGCCCGCUAGGUGUUGCGCAGGCUUCGAGCCUGUGCUGUGUCACAGCGAAGGCGCUAAGCGGGCCGCCUGGGAAGUACGUCCGCAAGGAUGAAACUUAAAGGAAUUGGCGGG